AACACAUUUUUUAAGUGAAAAGGGUAUUAAAAUAUACUAACUGAAAAACAUCAAAACAACAUACAUUUUUACAAUACGUGGUCCAGCUGGUUAAUGAUAAUAUGGCCGAAAUCGUCCUAAAAUGUUGACCUAGUUGCCACACUGUAAACAUGAAGUCAUUGGGCCAACGACGGAAACCCGUCAAAGGAUAAUCGUGGUUAGGCCACUGUUGGCCCAACAAUGAUUAAUAAGUAUUUAAAUACAGCUGUUGGGCCAACGUUGAACCAACUUUGAAUUUCAGUCACAGAUAUAUUUACAUUGGGCCAAUAUUGAUUUUCAGAGAAAGACUUAUAUAGAGAAAACAUCGUUGGCCCAACGUUGGCCCAUUAGAAGUAAUAAUAUAAUAAUUAUAUAUUUUACAGGAGACUGUUUUAUCACAAGCCCCUACAGGUAUACACGUUAUGUGUGUGUGUAACAUGCAAUAUUUAAUUAAUAAUUAAAUACUUUUCUGCACCAAUUCGUAAUCAGUUAAAUUUGGGCUUAUUAAACCUUAAACUUAUCUGCAGCCGUAAUGACAUUUUGAACUAUUUCAAAUGUACUACCUUGAAAAAAAAUGUGAAAAUAAUUGAUAAAAAAAAAACAACUCACUACUAACUCUAUAACAAAUAUCUAAUUUUAUACAGUCAUAAAAUGUUUACAAUAAAUCUGUUGAGUAUUCCAGAACAUGAACUCUCGUUAACCCGGGUUAUGUAAGAAAUCCCAGAAAAUGUGGUUAAUUUUACUCUCUAGGUCAGAUUUCUAGCUGCAUAUAUGUGAAGUAAAGGAAACUAUUAUACAUGUGAUAGAUCUAGAGUUAACAAAAACCCGGUCUACCAGCUAUAAACUGGUGCUGUUCAAGAGAGUAAUAAUAGAGUGCCUAGCACUGUGGUGCACAAGAAAAAAACAAGAAGAAAAAAAGAAAGCAGCAACGUCAGUGAGAAAAAAAAAAACAAUCAAACAGAACUUGGAUAUAUAAUGAAUUAAUAUACAGACAGUAAUUCACUUUAGUAGGAUUUAAUCAGUGACUGAAAAAAAGAAAAAAUAUUUAGAUUUAUAAAAGGCUGGGAUCAAUAUUUGACAUGUUGUAGUGAUGAAAUAUUCUGUUAUAUUUCUUCAGGAAAAUUGCAAACAAACUUUAAAUAAAUGUUAGAUUUCUUUUUGUUAAACUUUAACAAAAUCACAACUAUUUGAAAAUAAAAUACGUAAUGAAUAA